GAUGAACGCUGGCGGCGUGCCUAAUACAUGCAAGUCGAGCGAACGGACGAGAAGCUUGCUUCUCUGAUGUUAGCGGCGGACGGGUGAGUAACACGUGGAUAACCUACCUAUAAGACUGGGAUAACUUCGGGAAAACGGAGCUAAUACCGGAUGAUAUUUUGAACCGCAUGGUUCAAAAGUGAAAGACGGUCUUGCUGUCACUUAUAGAUGGAUCCGCGCUGCAUUAGCUAGUUGGUAAGGUAACGGCUUACCAAGGCAACGAUGCAUAGCCGACCUGAGAGGGUGAUCGGCCACACUGGAACUGAGACACGGUCCAGACUCCUACGGGAGGCAGCAGUAGGGAAUCUUCCGCAAUGGGCGAAAGCCUGACGGAGCAACGCCGCGUGAGUGAUGAAGGUCUUCGGAUCGUAAAACUCUGUUAUUAGGGAAGAACAGAUGUGUAAGUAACUGUGCACAUCUUGACGGUACCUAAUCAGAAAGCCACGGCUAACUACGUG
rnacentral:rRNA from 1 species